UGGUUCUGGCAUNGAUGAAGAACGCAGCGAAAUGCGAUAAGUAAUGUGAAUUGCAGAAUUCAGUGAAUCAUCGAAUCUUUGAACGCACAUUGCGCCCAUUAGUAUUCUAGUGGGCAUGCCUAUUCGAGCGUCAUUUCAACCCUUAAGCUUAGCUUAGUGUUAGGAGCUUACAGCAAUGUAACUCCCUAAAGUCAUUGGCAGAGCUAAAUCAACUCUCAGCGUAGUAAUUUCAUCUCGCUCUUGUAGUUGGUCUAGCGAUCGCCAUAAACCUUUAUUUUUCAAUGGUUGACCUCGGAUUAGGUAGGAAUACCCGCUGA
rnacentral:misc_RNA from 1 species